rnacentral:lncRNA from 1 species
UGUGAGUAUUUUCUAUGCUAACUAAUUGCAUUCACUACAUACGAUUCUUAUCUGUAUUGAUCAGGCAAACAUUGGACAAAACAUUCCUUUCUCAAGAAUGUCUAGCUAAAAUAUCAUCUUCUCUUCAUGUCUCUAAUAGGGUCUGGUUCCGAUACAGGCCUUAAAAAAUAUAGACACAGAAUUAUAAUGAUACAAAUUUAACGUGAAAGUUUUAUCCACUUCCUGCUGCGGUAGAAUAUAGUAGAAUAUCCAAUCGGGGGUUUUUUUUGUUCUUUUUUUUUGGUGCAACAUCCAAUUGGAGUUCUUAAAAGUUAAUAUGUCUCUUCUUUUCUCUCUUACGAAAGCAAUGAUAAACGGCAUCAAAUCCUAAGGUAAACUACCUAUAAUACAUUUGAUUACCACUUCUUCCAAACCUAAGUGUGGUCCUUCAUGUUUUAUGUGCAUUCUGCCGAGAAACUAGGGUCCACAACUAAAAAAUUUUAUUCUUUAACGUAUCUAUGUAUAUUGAUAUAGGUUUUAUACCACUUUGAGAAAAGCAGGACCACCUAUAGUUAGGUCAUUUCAUAGGCCCUAAGUAAUAGGGUACGAUUUCACUACCACUACUAUCAUGUGGAUAACAUCAGC